UCUGGAGACUGUUAAUAGGAAAUAUAAACUGAAUUGAGUAGAAAUAACUCCUGUUCUGUGAAGAGCUUUUUUUUUUUGAGAGAGAACAUUGAAUGGACUGCAUCAUGAAAGCCAAGGAACACCAGACAGGUUUAUUUUGUCUGUGCUUCCUCCAUGGUUACAGUUGAUAUGUAAACACCUAGAGAAAUUUAAAGCAUAGUUUCUACAACUGUAUCCCAAGCUUUAAACAUCCCUAUGGCACUCCAAAAAUCUGAAAAUGUAAAGAGUAUGAGAGAGCUACAAGCAUCCCGAAACCAGGCAUCCACUUAACGUGACAGGCCUGGUAAGAAGAGCAUCAAUCAACAAAAAAGAAAAGAGGUCCAUUGUAAAUCUCAAGGACCGGUAGAUCCACAGAUGUGGUGGGAGAAUAGACUGAAGAACUAAUAUUUGUGCACCACACAAAUCUGGUGUUUAUGGAGGAGUAGCAAAAAGAAAGUGCAAUGUUGAAAGAAAGCCAUUAGCUUGUUUAAAGCUAGCUUGUUUAAAGUUUGCUGCAAGCCACGUCGGUAAAACAGCAAGGACGUGGAAGAACUCUGAUCUCAGGAAGAUGGAAGAAGCUAUAGGCUAAAUACUCCAAGUUUAGCAGUAACAAAAAAAAACACAACUCUUGAUUCUCCUAGGGUCCCAACCUCCUUGGUAAUACAAAGGCAACUUAGUUUAUUUUGCAAGGGAAUGAUCAACCAUCGUGCUCUUAAGUAUGUAUGUGUUGAAAUUAUCAAAGGCAUAUUGUAUCGCCCUGUGAAAUGGCCCACCUUUCAGUUUUCAUCCUUUUCAUUCUGUAAGCAUGUGUGUUUCAACGCCUGAACUCUUUUUUUUUUUUUUUUUUUUUUUUUUUAAACCAACGUGGGAGUCCCCCUUUCCUGCAGUGGUUGCAGCCCUUCAGCAUUUUGCUCUGCAACCACGCAUACACAUAAUAGGACCUGGGGCUCCACCAUGUGGUCAAAAUGUAAACGGCAGUUAUUUCAAGAGAGACAGGAUCACAAAGACAAGCUUAUUUUUUCUGUCGUGGUAUGUGAGUGAUGUUUCCCAAUAACAAGAUUGGGGAGGAUUUGCAAAUCACCGGCGGCACUGAAAAAAGCCAACACUUUGGUCUGCUUUAUCGCACAGGACUCCGCCACAAGUCUUCAUCCCCUAUCACGGUUAUGAAGCUAAAAAUUGUCUAUGAGAAGUUAAUUAUAAAAGUGAUAGGGCUUGCAGUCCUGCGGCACUGUGUAUAAAAUGCCUCUGUGGGUGUAAUAAAUGAUAAACAGUUGGCCUUUCACGUCAGCAGUUUGCAACAACUUCUCCUGUAUAUUUCGGACCCAGGUAAAUAACCAAAAAAAAAAAAAAAA